rnacentral:rRNA from 1 species
GUUAUAUGGUCAAGUGAAGAAGCGCAUACGGUGGAUGCCUUGGCAGUCAGAGGCGAUGAAAGACGUGGUAGCCUGCGAAAAGCUUCGGGGAGUCGGCAAACAGACUUUGAUCCGGAGAUCUCUGAAUGGGGGAACCCACCUAGGCUAACCUAGGUAUCUUGUACUGAAUCCAUAGGUGCAAGAGGCGAACCAGGGGAACUGAAACAUCUAAGUACCCUGAGGAAAAGAAAUCAACCGAGAUUCCCUUAGUAGUGGCGAGCGAACGGGGAUUAGCCCUUAAGCUUCAUUGAUUUUAGCGGAACGCUCUGGAAAGUGCGGCCAUAGUGGGUGAUAGCCCCGUACGCGAAAGGAUCUUUGAAGUGAAAUCGAGUAGGACGGAGCACGAGAAACUUUGUCUGAACAUGGGGGGACCAUCCUCCAAGGCUAAAUACUACUGACUGACCGAUAGUGAACCAGUACCGUGAGGGAAAGGCGAAAAGAACCCCGGAGAGGGGAGUGAAAUAGAACCUGAAACCGUAUGCGUACAAGCAGUGGGAGCCUACUUGUUAGGUGACUGCGUACCUUUUGUAUAAUGGGUCAGCGACUUAUAUUCAGUGGCAAGCUUAACCGUAUAGGGUAGGCGUAGCGAAAGCGAGUCUUAAUAGGGCGUUUAGUCGCUGGGUAUAGACCCGAAACCGGGCGAUCUAUCCAUGAGCAGGUUGAAGGUUAGGUAACACUGACUGGAGGACCGAACCCACUCCCGUUGAAAAGGUAGGGGAUGACUUGUGGAUCGGAGUGAAAGGCUAAUCAAGCUCGGAGAUAGCUGGUUCUCCUCGAAAGCUAUUUAGGUAGCGCCUCAUGUAUCACUCUGGGGGGUAGAGCACUGUUUCGGCUAGGGGGUCAUCCCGACUUACCAAACCGAUGCAAACUCCGAAUACCCAGAAGUGCCGAGCAUGGGAGACACACGGCGGGUGCUAACGUCCGUCGUGAAAAGGGAAACAACCCAGACCGCCAGCUAAGGUCCCAAAGUUGUGGUUAAGUGGUAAACGAUGUGGGAAGGCUUAGACAGCUAGGAGGUUGGCUUAGAAGCAGCCAUCCUUUAAAGAAAGCGUAAUAGCUCACUAGUCGAGUCGGCCUGCGCGGAAGAUGUAACGGGGCUCAAACCACACACCGAAGCUGCGGGUGUCACGUAAGUGACGCGGUAGAGGAGCGUUCUGUAAGCCUGUGAAGGUGAGUUGAGAAGCUUGCUGGAGGUAUCAGAAGUGCGAAUGCUGACAUGAGUAACGACAAUGGGUGUGAAAAACACCCACGCCGAAAGACCAAGGGUUCCUGCGCAACGUUAAUCGACGCAGGGUUAGUCGGUUCCUAAGGCGAGGCUGAAAAGCGUAGUCGAUGGGAAACAGGUUAAUAUUCCUGUACUUCUGGUUACUGCGAUGGAGGGACGGAGAAGGCUAGGCCAGCUUGGCGUUGGUUGUCCAAGUUUAAGGUGGUAGGCUGAAAUCUUAGGUAAAUCCGGGGUUUCAAGGCCGAGAGCUGAUGACGAGUCGUCUUUUAGAUGACGAAGUGGUUGAUGCCAUGCUUCCAAGAAAAGCUUCUAAGCUUCAGGUAACCAGGAACCGUACCCCAAACCGACACAGGUGGUCGGGUAGAGAAUACCAAGGCGCUUGAGAGAACUCGGGUGAAGGAACUAGGCAAAAUGGCACCGUAACUUCGGGAGAAGGUGCGCCGGCUAGGGUGAAGGAUUUACUCCGUAAGCUCUGGCUGGUCGAAGAUACCAGGCCGCUGCGACUGUUUAUUAAAAACACAGCACUCUGCAAACACGAAAGUGGACGUAUAGGGUGUGACGCCUGCCCGGUGCCGGAAGGUUAAUUGAUGGGGUUAGCGCAAGCGAAGCUCUUGAUCGAAGCCCCGGUAAACGGCGGCCGUAACUAUAACGGUCCUAAGGUAGCGAAAUUCCUUGUCGGGUAAGUUCCGACCUGCACGAAUGGCGUAACGAUGGCGGCGCUGUCUCCACCCGAGACUCAGUGAAAUUGAAAUCGCUGUGAAGAUGCAGUGUAUCCGCGGCUAGACGGAAAGACCCCGUGAACCUUUACUGUAGCUUUGCACUGGACUUUGAGCCUGCUUGUGUAGGAUAGGUGGGAGGCUUUGAAGCGUGGACGCCAGUUCGCGUGGAGCCAUCCUUGAAAUACCACCCUGGCAUGCUUGAGGUUCUAACUCUGGUCCGUAAUCCGGAUCGAGGACAGUGUAUGGUGGGCAGUUUGACUGGGGCGGUCUCCUCCUAAAGAGUAACGGAGGAGUACGAAGGUGCGCUCAGACCGGUCGGAAAUCGGUCGCAGAGUAUAAAGGCAAAAGCGCGCUUGACUGCGAGACAGACACGUCGAGCAGGUACGAAAGUAGGUCUUAGUGAUCCGGUGGUUCUGUAUGGAAGGGCCAUCGCUCAACGGAUAAAAGGUACUCCGGGGAUAACAGGCUGAUACCGCCCAAGAGUUCAUAUCGACGGCGGUGUUUGGCACCUCGAUGUCGGCUCAUCACAUCCUGGGGCUGAAGCCGGUCCCAAGGGUAUGGCUGUUCGCCAUUUAAAGUGGUACGCGAGCUGGGUUUAGAACGUCGUGAGACAGUUCGGUCCCUAUCUGCCGUGGACGUUUGAGAUUUGAGAGGGGCUGCUCCUAGUACGAGAGGACCGGAGUGGACGAACCUCUGGUGUUCCGGUUGUCACGCCAGUGGCAUUGCCGGGUAGCUAUGUUCGGAAAAGAUAACCGCUGAAAGCAUCUAAGCGGGAAACUUGCCUCAAGAUGAGAUCUCACUGGGAACUUGAUUCCCCUGAAGGGCCGUCGAAGACUACGACGUUGAUAGGCUGGGUGUGUAAGCGUUGUGAGGCGUUGAGCUAACCAGUACUAAUUGCCCGUGAGGCUUGACCAUAUAACACCCAAACA